UACGGAGGGUGCAAGCGUUGUUCGGAAUUACUGGGCGUAAAGGGCGCGUAGGCGGCCGGGCAAGUCCGGUGUGAAAUCCCGGGGCUCAACCCCGGAAGUGCAUUGGAUACUGUUCGGCUUGAGUUCGGGAGAGGAGGGCAGAAUUCCCGGUGUAGGGGUGAAAUCCGUAGAUAUCGGGAGGAAAACCAGUGGCGAAGGCGGCCCUCUGGGACGAGACUGACGCUGAGGCGCGAAAGCGUGGGGAGCAAACAGG
rnacentral:rRNA from 1 species